AGGAAGUUGAAAAACCUUCAGAACCAGAUGAACCUCAAUUAAAUAUAAGGAAGAGGCCAUCGACACUGCCAACCAUGGAUUUAGCUGAAGAUGUGAUUGCAGAAAAUCAUGAGAAGAGGCCACGAACACCAACUGUACCUACAGAAGAAUAUGUUUCCCAAUCUCUCACAAGGUUCAUUUCUGGUCCAGAGAAAGGAGAAGAAAGUGACCCCAAGAAAGAAGAG